rnacentral:lncRNA from 1 species
AUAAGAUAAAUACUUGGUCUUGAUAUAUUUUUUUGGUCCAGAAUUUCCAGAUGUCUUCAGCCAUUUCAGCCAUGGAUAAGGUAAAGAAAAAAUAUCGUAAGUGAAACACAGAAGUAGGCACAUAAUCCCAAUCCAGGAGAACAAGGCCGGAGAAACCCAGGUGAUUGUUUCACUCAAAGGAAGAAAGGAAUCACCAUCCUCUAAUGACCUUAGUCAGUUUAAAAUACAAACAAAAGUGAUUUAAGACCUCAGUGACUGCUGCCUAUUCCAUCAUCCAAGUGGAAUCUCUCCAGAACACUGUGGGCCAGGG